rnacentral:rRNA from 1 species
UUGCAGGNUGCAACCCGCCUGUAUGAAGUUGGAAUCGCUAGUAAUCGCGGAUCAGCAUGCCGCGGUGAAUACGUUCCCGGGCCUUGUACACACCGCCCGUCACACCAUGAGAGUCGGGAACACCCGAAGUCCGUAGCCUAACCGCAAGGGAGGGCGCGGCCGAAGGUGGGUUCGAUAAUUGGGGUGAAGUCGUAACAAGGUAUC